AGCCACUCUUGUAUUAUUUAGAUGUGAUAUAAAUUUAUGUAAAAUGAUAGUCAUGGAUGAUUUAUUAAUUUCCAAGUGAAAAAAUAAAAUAAAAACUAAAUAAAAUUUUUGGUUAAAAAAUAUGUGGUGGUAUUAUGAUGUACAAAAACUGUUCCAUGUUUUAUGGGGACUUUCAGCUAGAUACCUCCUAGCAUUGGGACAGUUUAUCUUCGGUGUAGAGUUCAAACCUUUUUUUCCCUUUUGGGGGGCACUUCUGUAUGUGACAUAUUUUGAUUAAUGCCAGUGAGUGCAAAAGUUCACUUUGCUUUUCUUCAUAUUUGUUGAUGUACCUUGAAACGGAUAGCCUGAAGUGCUUCUCCCUUUUAGUUGUCGAUGUAUGGCGAAGUGUUUGAAUAAUUAGGCUCACAUUGUUGUUUGUAAUCCUAUGUCCAUCCUGAAGCGAAACGCCAUUCUUCUCUAUGGCGCCAGAUGUAACAUAGCUGGCAGAGAUUUUAGGGGAAGGACAUCAUCGCUCUGUGUGCAUACUCCAUUGAGGUGGAUGAUGACACCACCUCGGUUCUUUGCAGAGCCGCUUGAUAGUUGAUUCAUCAACAUCUGAACUGUGAUUCGAACUGAAUACUCAAAUUAUUGUCAAGUGUAUUGUAAAAAAAAAAAGAAAUGCCACCUAAUAGUAAUUAAGUAAUAAAUUAAUUUGUAUAGAGGGAGGUAAAAAUGACAAUUUUCACUCUAAAUUUGGAGCCAUAUUAACUCAACUCAACUCUAUUUAUAUAGCGCUUUUAACAAUUUUCAUUGUUACAAAGCAGCUGUACAUGAGACAUAUUGACUAUAAGCAAAACAAUUAAAGUUGUACCUGUAAAAACAAGAAAAAGGUGAAAACACAGAAGACAGACAUACCCACAUACAAAUCACUCCACACACACAAUAUGCACACGUACUAACAAACAUAGACACGCACAUAUGGAUGCGCACGCACGCACACACAUACACAAACAAGUAUGCACACACAGUGAGAGCAAACAUUUAAGAUAAAGGAGAGAGAAGCACAGGUCAAAUAUAACAGACUAUAAAUUCCUAUAUGCAAUAUUAAUUAAGUAAAACUUCAAAAUUCUAAAGCAGCCCCCCGGCCAGGCAAAAUGUGCAAAAGAACAGUAUGCAAAUGGUGGCGAGGAACCCAAAACUCUAAUCGAGAAAAAAAACCUCAGGAGAACCCAGGCCCAACCAGGGGAUUCCAGUUCCCCUCUGGCAAAAGCUGCUGCCUCUGCACAAACUCCACAGUGCUUGCACAACAAGGCUAAAUAAAAAUAAAUAAACUUACUAAUAAGGUAAAUUAUAGUUUUAAGAUUAUCAUUAAUAAUCUAAUAGCAUUUGAAAUUUUGUGGUGAAGACGUGUCAAGUGACCGCGUCCUUCUUUAUGCAGCUCUAUCAUCUCAGCUUUUGUCAGGUGCCGUUUCCCAUUCUCCGCUCUACCAUCAGGUCUGGGCAUGAACUGCAUCCUGCUCGCUGUGGUAACCUUGGAACAAUGAGACAAGACUGGCUGAGAGUAGAGUACUGUUCUGCACUCUUUGAUGCAACAAGUACAUCAGUUGUGUUUUUGGUUCCGGUUGAUAUAACUAAUGCAGCCUAAACCCUCAGAUGAUUUAUAUUAUGGAAGUGUAGUGUAUGCAAGAUUAAAAAGAUGCGUCUUUAGUCUAGAUUUAAACUGACAGAGUGUGUCUGCCUCCCGGACAGUGCAGGGAAGACUAUUCCAAAUUUUAGGCGCUAGAUAGGAAAAGGAUCUACAUGCACUUGAUUUUGAAAUUCUAUGUAUUACCAACUGACAGGACGCGUGAGAGCAUAAUGCACGUGAAGGACUGUAAUACAAGAGGAGUUCACUCAAGUACUGAGGAGCUAAACUAUGUAGGGCUUUAUAGGUAAUAAGCAAGAUUUUAAAGUUAACGCGAUGCUUAGAGGGGGUAAAUGACAUGGGAAAUAUGCCAGCAUCAUAAUUUUAUUUUUACACAGAGGUCGGCAUAUGUGUUUGUAAAUCUGUUCAUUUUAGCAAUUCUUGAUGCAUUUUAUGCCAAUGGUGACAGCUCAAAAAUGAAGAAAGGGCAUUUUCUGUAUUCAUUUAACAAAUUUUGCAUGCCUGUAACUCUAGAACCGUUAGAAAAUACCUUAGGCCCAAUCCCAAUUCUACCCCUUACCCCUACACUUUCUCCUACCCCUCCAUUUGGCGUGUUCACGUGAAGGGGUAGGGGUGUCUCAAUUCUCUUUUGGUUGGAGGGGUAGGGGUAAGGGGAAGGGGAAGGGCCAGAUAGCCCUUCAAAGAAGUUUUUUCGGGACCUCACUUCAAACGAAUUUCCAACAUGGCUGCUCACUCGAGCAAGCAGACCCAAAUGUAAAUAAUUUUUGCCAUUAAUAAGGAUUUUUAUGACAAUUUUUCAUUUUAUGUAUGUUACAUUCAAUCUUGUGUUUGUAUUUACGGUGAUGUUCUUUUAACGUUUGCAAAAAAAAUCGCUAAGGUUUGCUAGCGGACAGCACUGAUUGCACGAUAUUAGAAAAUAUAUUUUUAUGUCAUAUACCCGGUGCAUCGGUGCAUGUCCUCUGACGUAACGUUAGGAGCUAGCAACGACGUAUGAUGACGUAUACUAGUGUAGUAGUGGUGUCCCAUUUCUUAGCAGAACAUUUGUAACCCUUCCCCUUGCCACUUUGUUUCAAGGGGCAAGUGGAAGGGGCGAGUGGUAGGCGAAGGGGUAGAAAAUAGAAUUGGGAUUGGGCCGUAUGUUCUUUUAGAUUCUUACUUGACCAACUUGUCUUUUGGGAACUACAUUUUUAAGGCCCUGUAUUACUCAGUACUAGAGAUAUGAGGAUCUAAAUGUGGCUUCAUGAGAAAACUGUUAAAAUGGACACAUUUUCAGUCGUCAAAAAAUAAAUGUUCUUCAUUUCUUUUAAAGAGGAAUGUCUGAAGAAAAAAAUGUUGAAAUCUUUUUCCUCCUUUGCAAACAACUGCACUAAACAUAACCAUUUCAGUGUUCUUUUGGCACUGAGUUACUGUUAAAAAUGAUCGGGUUAAAAGGCACCUUAAAGGCACUUUUAGUACUUAAUGAAGUAAUUGUUCAUGUACUCUAAAGUUUCUUUGAAACGGUUUUGUAUUGGUAUAAAGCACUAUCAAAAGGUGACGUGACAUGUCAAGGCCUAUUCAGUUAAAAAAAAAAUUCAGUUAACUUUUAUUAGGUUGAAACAAACCAUGGACCCGUUUACACAUAGUUGGCAAGUUUGGCCGAUAUAAGGAUGUAAUAUUUGGCACCAACAAAUCAAAUUGAGUUUCAGAAGUAGUGCUGUUAUUGGUCUCGGAUUAGGAUGUAAAAGUUUUGGUGUGAGGAUGUUGUUUUGUCUUGUCGUGUCGUUUAAAAUGUGAAAAAUGUGAAUAGCAAUGUUAUUUAAUUUGUACAUGCUCCCUCUUGGAACGAUUUUUAGGAAACAUGGUGUUUCCUUUCAUUGUUACGCAGAUGAUACCCAAAUGUAUCUCCCCCUGGAAUCAAAUAACAAGGGUUUGGAUGCCCUGUGGGCUUGUUUAGCUGAAGUUAAAACCUGGAUGUCCCUAAAUCAUCUACACCUUAAUGAAGGUAAAACUGAAAUUAUUGUUUUCAAUUCAUCAGAUAUCGCUGGCUCCCCUGGCUUAAACCUUGGUAAUCUGUCCUCAAAUGUGAAACCAGUAGUGAAGAACUUGGGGGUCUAUUUCGGUAGUGCUCUCAAAUUUGAAAAAGAGAUUAGUACUGUAAUUAAAACCAGUUUUUUCCAUCUGAGAAUCUUAGCGAAAGUGAAACCAUUUCUUUCCUAUAAGGAUUUGGAAAGGGUAAUUCAUGCAUUUAUUUCAACAAGGCUUGAUUACUGCAACUCCCUCUAUAUUGGCAUUAAUCAAGCUUCUUUAAAUCGUCUUCAAAUGGUUCAAAAUGCUGCCGCGAGGCUCCUUACUGGGGUAUGUAAGCGAGAACAUAUUACUCCGGUAUUAAUUUCUUUGCACUGGCUCCCAAUUCGUUACAGAAUUGAUUUUAAAGAAAAUCAAUAAAAAAAUAAAAAAAUUUGCUGUUGGUUUUUAAAGCUUUGCAUGGAUUAGCUCCUGUGUAUCUUUCCGAUUUAUUAUUUGCAGAGUAAAAAGAAAAAGUGCCUCAAAUAUCCUGUUGUGUACUCAAAGAACCUUAAACUGUAUUUUAAGUGCUCCAAAGCUCUUUUUCUCAAUAAAAGGGUUAUGGUGGAACCAUCUAUAGUCUUUGUGGUUCUUCCAGGAACCUAGAAGAUUCUUGAAUAACCCCAUAUUCAGUUGUGAAGUUCUAGAGUCACCUUUUCACUACACUGGGACCUCAAAGUGCUUUGCGGGUUAUUGAAGGAACUCAAAUUCUAAAAAAUGGUUCUUGUAAGAUCUGUAAACUUGUAAGUGGUUCCUGGAGAAUCUCUCUUGUACAAGACAUGAGGAACCCCAAAAAAUUCUGCAUGAAAUAGGGAUUUUUAGUGUCUGAUCAUUUUGAUGUUUUAUGAGAAUAAGAAUAGUCCAAAGUUUGGUUUUUAGCCCCUGCUAAGUGAACACACAUUUUAAAAUCAUGCACAUGAUUAGAAAAGGCUAAAUGUUAUUUAGAAAAAUUUCAGCAAGCUUUUUGAUUAUUUUAUAUUUCUUACUAUUUGUAUUAUAUGAUUAAUUAUAUUAAUAUAUUAUAAAUAAACAUUUUUAUUCUAUUAGUAGAUCCUAAGUCACUGAAAUCUUUUGACAAUGUAAACGUUGUUGUGCUUUCCAUCCAAACAAACUUCAGCUGCUCUGUGUUUAUUGUGCAGUCUCGCCCUCCACAGUACUGUGGCGCUGUUGGCCCAAUGUCGCAGCGUCAAUGCAUGUGCUAUGUGCCAUGUGGCGCUUUCGUUAGUAUGUGUGUUUAACUUUUUCCAGCUCUGCGCAGACCGAUCACCUUAUGACAAAAAACAUACGGACUUAGAAUAACAUCUCUAAAGCAUACAGAGCAGUCAGUUCACAAAUAGCUCUCACUGUGCUUUGAUGUCGCCGAUCCGUCUGCGAUCAAACAUCAGUGGCACGAGUGUUCACCGGUGUUGUUCCGCUCGCGCGACAGGCGGGAAUUCAAAAUAACGGAUUGCAACAACCUCUCGACUGUCCCAUUGGAUAAUUUUCAGUAUUUUCCAGUUGAGCAGCAAAAAAAAUGGGCAACCAAGGCCAACAGACCCAGCCCCCCCUGAUGCUCAUCCUUGCACUGCCUGGGACACCUAAGGCCAACAGGCGCAGCUCCUGUUCUCUUUUUGCCAUAAAUACAUAUCUACUUUAGCAAUGCAAAAUUGUGAAAUGUACUAUAGAAAUAAUUUUUACUUUGACUACAUGGAUCCUCACACCACCUGGUAAUAGCAGGAAACCCAUUUGGAGAGAACAGCAUUGUUUCUCGAGCUCGCAAGGAUUUGCUAUUUGGCAAAUUACAACUUUACCAUGGGUGUAGGCCUUACUACGAGAGACUACUUUUUUGCUGGACUUUUUUACAAUUGUACAUUUGUACAAAGUACCUGAAAUAUUUCUGUAUGUACAGUAUAUUUAAAAUUAAGGCAAAUUAUUUGGUUAGUUUUGUUAAGAUAAAGACUUUUAAUUUAUAACAAUAUCACCAACACAAUAUUAAUUAUACUGUACAUGUGAUUUCAUGAAUUUA